GCCGGUGUGAUGGAAUUGGUAGACGUAGCGGACUCAAAAUCCGCCGGUGGCAACACCGUGGGGGUCCGAGUCCCCCCACCGGCACCA
rnacentral:tRNA from 1 species